rnacentral:tRNA from 1 species
GGCCCUUUAGCUCAGUUGGUUAGAGCAAACGACUCAUAAUCGUUGGGUCCCCAGUUCGAGCCUGGGAAGGGCCACCA